rnacentral:rRNA from 1 species
UACAGAGGGUGCAAGCGUUGUUCGGAAUUAUUGGGCGUAAAGAGCUCGUAGGCGGUUUGGUAAGUCGGAUGCGAAAUCUCCAGGCUCAACCUGGAGGGGUCAUUCGAUACUGCCAUGACUAGAGUUCGGUAGGGUGUGUGGAAUUCCUGGUGGAGCGGUGAAAUGCGCAGAGAUCAGGAGGAACACCGUAGCGAAGGCGGCACACUGGCCGAUAUUGACGCUGAGGAGCGAAGCGUGGGAGCGAACAGG